CACUGUUACAAAGAGUGAGUGCAAGAGAUAAAGUGUGUGAUUCACACACAGCACAGACCUUGACCCACACUCCUGCAUGAUCAUGAAUAGAACUUGUGCACCAGAUAAUUACACAGACUGUUCUCCCUCCAGCUCCUCUGCAGGUCUGGCUGCAGGGCUUACAGUCUUCUUUCUGCUGCUCGUCAUAGCUGGUGUGGUUGUUUACAUAUACCGUGGUAAAAUCAGGGAUAUGUUACCCUUUGGACAAAGGAGUAACAGUGGAAAGGAGGACUGUACAGAGAGCCCACAGGAAGAGCCCCAUCAGUACAGCUGCAUGAUCAGAGAGCAGCCAGCAGGACAAAGUCCAAUCUAUGAAAACCUGACGACUCAAACGGCUCGCCACAGCCCGCAUCCUGUAAAGCAGAGCAGGCCACCUGUUGAACCUGAAGAGGACCCGUACCUGCAGUGUGAUUCACUAGAUGAUGGGAUAUACUACAAUGACCCAACACAUAACUCCAACUACCCAGACUUACAAGAAGAAGACGUGUAUAUUGUGCCCGAUUCAUAACAGGAUGCAUCUUUAUCAAGUCAUUUUCCUUAUGGACCACAGUCUUUGUCACACAAUUUUGAAAGCCAUCAAAGGCAGGUAUUUACUGAUUAGAUUAGAUUGUUUUAUGGUGUUCUCUUGAUACAUCUCAAAUGACUGAUGAGUCAUUUCAGUUUUGACCUUUAGAGAGGAGAAGCGUGGGCAGUGUGUCCAAAGCAUAACUUUUUCUAAGACAUUGUAAAGUCAAAAAGCAGUAUAUAAGUACACACAAAUACACUCUAUAUUAUGCACACACACACACACACACAGGCAGGCCCAGUAUUCGUUAUGUUUUCUGGAUGUUUUUGAGCUACUAUUUAUGGAAGUGAUAAACUUUUAUCAUUAGUGCAUUAUGGGUGAGUUAUGGUUACAGUUAUGGUCAUGGUUAUUUUACUAAGUUGUGAAAUUAUAUUUUGCUCUCUAUGCUCACAAUAAAGUGUUCUGUAAAUGUGUUUAUUGUUAUUAUAGGUAAUGAUUUAAUGUGACAAUGCAGAUGAGGAAAAACAACAAGAACAAUAACGUUCUUACUGCAUUCAAAUUUAUUGUUCUGUCUCAUAUUUAAAAAUGCAUGAUUAUUAGUUUGAACAAACAAAAAUAAAAGUGCCUUGAAAAAAUGCACAGGUCAGCACCACGUUAAAAAUGUGUGGGCGUCAGUUUUUUUUUUUGCAUACAAAGCACUCAGAGAGGAUUUGAAAAUCUAUCUGACUUUAUAACAGAUCGAUCCCACAUCCGUCACCGAACUGUUCACAAGUCUGAUACUGUAUGUGAGUAAUGACAAGAAUGUGCUUUGACAAGAUGCUUUUUAACAUGUUAUCAUGAAAUUUGUGUCAGCUGUAGGUUUCCAGUAAAGCUACGUGAGGAUAAAAAGAGAAAGAGAAAUACCAGAGGCUAAUGAGCUCAUAAAAUCUAAGAUUACACACAGAGGAGUGUGAUAAACACCACCGCUCUCUGUAUACUUUGGGUGGUACUGCGACUCAGGACCUUUCAGAACCUGAAGAUUGAAGACCUUUCCAUUCACACACUGUUGUGCAAUAACCGAAGAUGUCAUCCCUGAAACAAAGAGUAACAGGGAAAAAAAUGAAUAAGCAUUUCCUACGCAGAGGCCUGAAUUUACCGACAGGAAAGUUAAUCAAUCACCUAUUUAUUAAUGUAGCCAGUUACUGGGCUCCACCCUACGCUUCACCCCAUUUAGAUUUUAUUAAUUGCAAAAUAAUUUGUGUGCUCGUGCAUAAGUGACUUUUACUAAUAAACUCUCUGUUAAUACUUCAGAUUGUUCACGUUUUUGUAUUUAAUGUUUGUUCUUUUGGCUUUUUAAAUGUCAGCUAUAGUCUAUUGUUUUUGUAAAUAUGCUUGUUAUGAGAAUAUCUCACAUCUCUCUGUUCACUCACUUCUCUGUGC
ensembl:lncRNA